rnacentral:rRNA from 1 species
CGAGAACAAUUGUCGCCCGUACCGUAAACCGACACAGGUGGGUGAGAUGAGUAUUCUAAGGCGCGUGGAAGAACCCUGGUUAAGGAACUCUGCAAACUAGCACCGUAUCUUCGGUAUAAGGUGUGCCCGCAGUAGGUGAAGAGAUUUACUCUUGGAGCCGAAACGGGUCUCAGCAAAGUGUCCCUCCCGACUGUUUACCAAAAACACAGCACUCUGCUAACUCGUAAGAGGAUGUAUAGGGUGUGACGCCUGCCCGGUGCUCGAAUGUUAAAAGGAUGUGUCAGCGCAAGCGAAGCAUUGAAUUGAAGCACGAGUAAACGGCGGCCGUAACUAUAACGGUCCUAAGGUAGCGAAAUUCCUUGUCGGUUAAAUACCGACCUGCAUGAAUGGCGUAACGAGAUGGGAGCUGUCUCAACCAGGGAUCCAGUGAAAUUGUAGUGGAGGUGAAAAUUCCUCCUACCCGCGGAAAGACGGAAAGACCCCGUGCACCUUUACUAUAGCUUGACAUUGGAGGCAUCCUUGAGAUACCACCCUUGAGUAUUCUGAUAGCUAACUCGCAUCAGUUAUCCUGAUGGAGGACACUGUCUGGUGGGUAGUUUGACUGGGGCGGUCGCCUCCUAAAAAGUAACGGAGGCUUACAAAGUUCGGCUCAGAAGGGUUGGAAAUCCUUCGUAGAGUAUAAUGGCAUAAGCCGGACUGACUGUAAGACAGACAAGUCGAGCAGAGUCGAAAGACGGUCAUAGUGAUCCGGUGGUUCUGUGUGGAAGGGCCAUCGCUCAAAGGAUAAAAGGUACGCCGGGGAUAACAGGCUGAUCUCCCCCAAGAGCUCACAUCGACGGGGAGGUUUGGCACCUCGAUGUCGGCUCAUCGCAUCCUGGGGCUGGAGCAGGUCCCAAGGGUAUGGCUGUUCGCCAUUUAAAGCGGUACGCGAGCUGGGUUCAGAACGUCGUGAGACAGUUCGGUCCCUAUCUUCCGUGGGCGCAGGAGAGUUGAGGAGAGCUGACCCUAGUACGAGAGGACCGGGUUGGACGUACCACUGGUGUACCAGUUGUUCUGCCAAGAGCAUCGCUGGGUAGCUACGUACGGAUGUGAUAACCGCUGAAAGCAUCUAAGCGGGAAGCCAACUCCAAGAUGAACUCUCCCUGAAGUUCCCUUGAAGACUACAAGGUUAAUAGGCUAGGUGUGUAAGAGNAGUAAUNCUUUCAGCUGACUAGUACUAAUAGAACGUUCGUCUUUAUCUA